AUUGAACGCUGGCGGCAGGCUUAACACAUGCAAGUCGAGCGGAGAGAGGUAGCUUGCUACUGAUCUUAGCGGCGGACGGGUGAGUAAUGCUUAGGAAUCUGCCUAUUAGUGGGGGACAACAUUUCGAAAGGAAUGCUAAUACCGCAUACGUCCUACGGGAGAAAGCAGGGGAUCUUCGGACCUUGCGCUAAUAGAUGAGCCUAAGUCGGAUUAGCUAGUUGGUGGGGUAAAGGCCUACCAAGGCGACGAUCUGUAGCGGGUCUGAGAGGAUGAUCCGCCACACUGGGACUGAGGCACGGCCCAGACUCCCACGGGAGGCAGCAGUGGGGAAUAUUGGACAAUGGGCGCAAGCCUGAUCCAGCCAUGCCGCGUGUGUGAAGAAGGCCUUAUGGUUGUAAGGCACUUUAAGCGAGGAGGAGGCUACUUUAGAUAAUACCUAGAGAUAGUGGACGUUACUCGCAGAAUAAGCACCGGCUAACUCUGUGCCAGCCGCCGCCGUAA
rnacentral:rRNA from 1 species